rnacentral:rRNA from 1 species
UACGUAGGGGGCAAGCGUUGUCCGGAAUCAUUGGGCGUAAAGAGCGCGUAGGCGGUCCGGUAAGUCAGCUGUGAAAGUCAGGGGCUCAACCCUUGAAAGCCGGUUGAUACUGUCGGGCUAGAGUCCGGAGGAGGCGAGUGGAAUUCCUGGUGUAGCGGUGAAAUGCGCAGAUAUCAGGAGGAACACCAAUUGCGAAGGCAGCACUCUGGGACGUGACUGACGCUGAGACGCGAAAGCGUGGGGAGCAAACAGG